GGGCAAGCGUUAUCCGGAAUUAUUGGGCGUAUAGGGUACGCAGGUGGCCUUUUAAGCGUAGGGUUUAAGGCAAUGGCUCAACCAUUGUUCGCCCUAUGAACUGGAAGGCUUGAGUGCAGGAGAGGAAAGCGGAAUUCCUAGUGUAGCGGUGAAAUGCAUAGAUAUUAGGAGGAACACCAGUGGCGAAGGCGGCUUUCUGGACUGUAACUGACACUGAGGUACGAAAGCGUGGGGAGCAAAC
rnacentral:rRNA from 1 species